GACGAACGCUGGCGGCGUGCUUAAUACAUGCAAGUCGAGCGAGUUAACGGUUCAGCUUGCUGAAUCGUUAAUUAGCGGCGGACGGGUGAGUAACGCGUGGGCAAUCUGCCCUCUAGCCUGGGAUAACAGUUCGAAAGGACUGCUAACACCGGAUAAUGUUAUUUUGCGGCAUCGUGAAAUUAUUAAAGUUUACACUAGAGGAUGAGCCCGCGUCCCAUUAGAUAGUUGGUGAGGUAACGGCCCACCAAGGCAACGAUGGGUAGCCGACCUGGGAGGGUGAUCGGCCACACUGGGACUGAGACACGGCCCAGACUCCUACGGGAGGCAGCAGUAGGGAAUUUUCCGCGAUGGGCGAAAGCCGGGCGGAGCAACGCCGCGUGAGGGAUGAAGGUUUUCGGAUCGUAAACCUCUGUCUUUGGGGACGAUAAUGACGGUACCCGAGGAGGAAGCCACGGCUAACUACGUGCCAGCCGCCGCGGUAAUAC
rnacentral:rRNA from 1 species